UUAAAUUGAAGAGUUUGAUCAUGGCUCAGAUUGAACGCUGGCGGCAGGCCUAACACAUGCAAGUCGAACGGUAACAGGAAGCAGCUUGCUGCUUCGCUGACGAGUGGCGGACGGGUGAGUAAUGUCUGGGAAACUGCCUGAUGGAGGGGGAUAACUACUGGAAACGGUGGCUAAUACCGCAUAACGUCGCAAGACCAAAGAGGGGGGACCUUCGGGCCUCUUGCCAUCAGAUGUGCCCAGAUGGGAUUAGCUUGUUGGUGAGGUAACGGCUCACCAAGGCGACGAUCCCUAGCUGGUCUGAGAGGAUGAGACCAGCCACACUGGAACUGAGACACGGUCCAGACUCCUACGGGAGGCAGCAGUGGGGAAUAUUGCACAAUGGGCGCAAGCCUGAUGCAGCCAUGCCGCGUGUAUGAAGAAGGCCUUCGGGUUGUAAAGUACUUUCAGCGGGGAGGAAGGUGUUGUGGUUAAUAACCGCAGCAAUUGACGUUACCCGCAGAAGAAGCACCGGCUAACUCCGUGCCAGCAGCCGCGGUAAUACGGAGGGUGCAAGCGUUAAUCGGAAUUACUGGGCGUAAAGCGCACGCAGGCGGUCUGUCAAGUCGGAUGUGAAAUCCCCGGGCUCAACCUGGGAACUGCAUUCGAAACUGGCAGGCUUGAGUCUUGU
rnacentral:rRNA from 1 species